GUCGAGCGAACGGACGAGAAGCUUGCUUCUCUGAUGUUAGCGGCGGACGGGUGAGUAACACGUGGAUAACCUACCUAUAAGACUGGGAUAACUUCGGGAAACCGGAGCUAAUACCGGAUAAUAUUUUGAACCGCAUGGUUCAAAAGUGAAAGACGGUCUUGCUGUCACUUAUAGAUGGAUCCGCGCUGCAUUAGCUAGUUGGUAAGGUAACGGCUUACCAAGGCAACGAUGCAUAGCCGACCUGAGAGGGUGAUCGGCCACACUGGAACUGAGACACGGUCCAGACUCCUACGGGAGGCAGCAGUAGGGAAUCUUCCGCAAUGGGCGAAAGCCUGACGGAGCAACGCCGCGUGAGUGAUGAAGGUCUUCGGAUCGUAAAACUCUGUUAUUAGGGAAGAACAUAUGUGUAAGUAACUGUGCACAUCUUGACGGUACCUAAUCAGAAAGCCACGGCUAACUACGUGCCAGCAGCCGCGGUAAUACGUAGGUGGCAAGCGUUAUCCGGAAUUAUUGGGCGUAAAGCGCGCGUAGGCGGUUUUUUAAGUCUGAUGUGAAAGCCCACGGCUCAACCGUGGAGGGUCAUUGGAAACUGGAAAACUUGAGUGCAGAAGAGGAAAGUGGAAUUCCAUGUGUAGCGGUGAAAUGCGCAGAGAUAUGGAGGAACACCAGUGGCGAAGGCGACUUUCUGGUCUGUAACUGACGCUGAUGUGCGAAAGCGUGGGGAUCA
rnacentral:rRNA from 1 species